ACGCAGAGAUGGACAGCGAUUCGGAAAGCAGCAUUUACAGUGGAUUUGACAGCUAUGUGGAGGCGGAGGAUUUCUCUCCACCAGAUUCCCCGCAGUCACAUCCGGUUGAAGACAGUACAGGUCCACUGCCUUAUCAGUUUGAACCUUUGAACACAAACACACCAGUGAAUGCAGAAGAAAGUGAAGAUUCUCCUAACGACUCGAAUAUUGAAGUCUCGCAAUGGGAGUUAUUAUUUCCAGCUGUAUUUGUUGAAAUAAACAAACAAAUACACAAUUUUGGAUGCCACAAAAACUGCACUGCAUCAGAAAACUGAGUUGUUGUCAUCUUAACAGGUGUUGUGAUAACUGCUCCAGACUCCGUCCAGAGGAAAAUGUAUGCUGUAGAGACAUACCAGAGGUGCACAGACAUGGCCAGUUUAUCAGCGUAUGUUGCAUAACAAAUCACCCAGGAUUUGAGCCUGUCGCUCUUAACCCGUACGUCCUGCAGAUAGCUUAUGCCCCAUAUCGACAGUUGUAUGGGAAGAUGUCAAAUGCAGCUCACAACAGUUGUUACAAACAUCUGGCAUAUAGAAAUUUUGUCUGGUGGUGCUGGAGAUAUCUGGGGAGACAGAUCAGAGUGGUGAUACCCUCAUGUGCAGUUGGAAGAAUAAGACAGGAAUUCCCAGAAGAGAAUGUAAACUACACUGGUUUUUUACCCCGUCCACUUUAGUAUAAACCAACUGUAAUGUCUCAAGUG